rnacentral:rRNA from 1 species
GACGAACGCUGGCGGCGUGCUUAACACAUGCAAGUCGAACGGUGAAGCGCCUUCCUUUUUGGUGGGUGUGGAUGAGUGGCGAACGGGUGAGUAACACGUGAGUAACCUGCCCCCUUCUUCUGGAUAACCGCAUGAAAGUGUGGCUAAUACGGGAUAUUCUGGGUCUGUCGCAUGAUGGGUCUGGGAAAGAUAUUGUUUCGGUGGGGGAUGGGCUCGCGGCCUAUCAGCUUGUUGGUGGGGUGAUGGCCUACCAAGGCGAUGACGGGUAGCCGGCCUGAGAGGGUGGACGGUCACACUGGGACUGAGACACGGCCCAGACUCCUACGGGAGGCAGCAGUGGGGAAUAGUGCACAAUGGGCGCAAGCCUGAUGCAGCGACGCCGCGUGAGGGAUGGAGGCCUUCGGGUUGUGAACCUCUUUCGCCAGUGAAGCAGGCCUGCCUCGUUUGUGGGUGGGUUGACGGUAGCUGGAGAAGAAGCGCCGGCUAACUACGUG